UGGGGAAUAUUGCACAAUGGGGGAAACCCUGAUGCAGCGACGCCGCGUGAGUGAAGAAGUAUUUCGGUAUGUAAAGCUCUAUCAGCAGGGAAGAAAAAAGACGGUACCUGACUAAGAAGCCCCGGCUAACUACGUGCCAGCAGCCGCGGUAAUACGUAGGGGGCAAGCGUUAUCCGGAUUUACUGGGUGUAAAGGGAGCGUAGACGGCGCGGCAAGUCUGAAGUGAAAGGCAGGGGCUUAACCCCUGAACUGCUUUGGAAACUGCCAUGCUAGAGUGCUGGAGAGGUAAGUGGAAUUCCUAGUGUAGCGGUGAAAUGCGUAGAUAUUAGGAGGAACACCAGUGGCGAAGGCGGCUUACUGGACAGUAACUGACGUUGAGGCUCGAAAGCGUGGGGAGCAAACA
rnacentral:rRNA from 1 species